UGGCUUUCUAGAAGAAUGAGCUGUGUGGCUUGUUACAUCUGCAGGCUGGCUCCCAGUGCUUAGAUUUAUCAUGCCUGAAAAUGGACCAUUUAAAAUGCCUUCUCACAGGACUCACCUAAGAGUUGCAGUCCCUAUGACAGAUUGCCUUUCAAGUUUACUUGGAGACACAGAGUGCUUGCAGCAAUGGAGUGCCCAGAGGCACUCCCCACAGCUGCUAAUGCCUUGGAUGGAGGACGGGUGGCAUCCGUGAUCCAGGAUUUUUUUUCUAUCUCUUCGGCGCUUCUUUCAGUGAUAUGAAGUUAAAACCAGUUGCCCUGCUGCUGGGAUUCUAUUUUUACCUUCUAGAGAAGAAUUUCUCAUUUUAUUGGAGUGAUUUUCCUUGCACGUGUGGCUGACACAGUAAAACUUUCAAAUUCCUAACAAGUUGGUCUUCUGGGACUGAACAAAAAUGGGUUGAAGGGGGCAGUGGUGGAAGUAAAAAUCAUCCUUUGCUCUCACCGAAGUAGAGACAGCAGUGGCGUGUUAUCCUAAACCUGGAACUGGGAUCAGAAGAUAUGAAUUCAAGGCACUGGCUCUGCAACCAUUGUGCUUGUUGACAUUGUGAAAAUUAUAUAAUCUCUCAGCCUCAGUUACCUUAGACACAAAGGGGAAUAAGUAUGACUUAUUCUGUGCUAUUUCUGAAGAUAAAAUAAAUAUAUUUUGUGAUUUGUAAAGAAUAAUACCAAUUAUUACCAAGAGUACUCACACAAUUCAUUUUUGUGUGUAUGUAAAUAUAAAAUCAUCAUCAUUCUUUUUCCAGAGAAGACUGAAGAACAGGUAGGCUCCAUCCCUGACUUGAGAUCAAGCAGCAGGUUAGCCAAACCCAAAGAUUAGAAUUCAAUAGUCUAUGAUUCCCACUAGGUUCAUUAAUUCUUAACUGCGGCAUGAGCCAGUUUCUCUACAGAAUUACUGCCAAUAGAACAUGAUUCACUUCUUAAUUGUAAUUUCCC
rnacentral:lncRNA from 1 species